rnacentral:ncRNA from 2 species
GAGGGCUGCUGGAGGUAUCCGAAGUGCGAAUGCUGACAUGAGUAGCGAUAAAACGGGUGAAAAGCCCGUUCGCCGAAAGCCCAAGGUUUCCGACGCAACGUUCAUCGGCGUCGGGUCAGUCGGCCCCUAAGGCGAGGCCGAAAGGCGUAGUCGAUGGGAAACGGGUCAACAUUCCCGUACCGUCGUGCAAUGCGAUGGGGGGACGAAGAAGGCUAAGUGGGUCGGGUGUUGGACGUCCCGAUUCAAGCCCGUAGCCUGGCGCGGUAGGCAAAUCCGCCGCGCUAGAGGUGAGAGGUGAUGACGAGGGCAGCCCACGGGCCGCCCAAGCCACCGAGGCCCCGCUUCCAGGAAAAGCCCCUAAGCUUCAGUUGCACGAUGACCGUACCGCAAACCGACACAGGUGGGCUGGUGUCAAAGCACCAAGGCGCUUGAGAGAACCCAGGAGAAGGAACUCGGCAAAUUGACACCGUAACUUCGGGAGAAGGUGUGCCCCAAGUAGGUGAGUCUGCACGCCAGACGAGCCCAACGGGGUCGCAGAGAAUCGGGGGCUGCGACUGUUUAUUAAAAACACAGCACUCUGCCAAGACGAAAGUCGACGUAUAGGGUGUGACGCCUGCCCGGUGCCGGAAGGUUAAGUGAUGGGGUGCAAGCUCCUGAUCGAAGCCCCGGUAAACGGCGGCCGUAACUAUAACGGUCCUAAGGUAGCGAAAUUCCUUGUCGGGUAAGUUCCGACCUGCACGAAUGGCGUAACGAUGGCCCCACUGUCUCCUCCUGGGACUCAGCGAAAUUGAAAUGGUUGUGAAGAUGCAAUCUCCCCGCGGCUAGACGGAAAGACCCCAUGAACCUUUACUGCAGCUUUGCAUUGGACUUUGAUGUGGCCUGUGUAGGAUAGGUGGGAGGCUGAGAAGCCGAGGCGCCAGCUUCGGUGGAGCCGCCCUUGAAAUACCACCCUGGUCACCUCGAGGUUCUAACCGCGCACCGUACAUCCGGUGCCGGGACCGUGCAUGGCAGGCAGUUUGACUGGGGCGGUCUCCUCCCAAAAGGUAACGGAGGAGCACGAAGGUACGCUUGGCACGGUCGGAAAUCGUGCUGUAUGUGCAAGGGCAUAAGCGUGCUUGACUGUGAGGCCCACAAGCCGAACAGGUGCGAAAGCAGGUCCUAGUGAUCCGGUGGUUCUGUAUGGAAGGGCCAUCGCUCAACGGAUAAAAGGUACUCUGGGGAUAACAGGCUGAUACCGCCCAAGAGUUCACAUCGACGGCGGUGUUUGGCACCUCGAUGUCGGCUCAUCUCAUCCUGGGGCUGUAGUCGGUCCCAAGGGUAUGGCUGUUCGCCAUUUAAAGAGGUACGUGAGCUGGGUUUAAAACGUCGUGAGACAGUUUGGUCCCUAUCUGCCGUGGGCGCUGGAAGUUUGAGGGGAUCUGCUCCUAGUACGAGAGGACCGGAGUGGACGCACCUCUGGUGUACCGGUUGU